AGGGAUUGCCCCAGUAACGGCGAGUGAAGCGGCAACAGCUCAAAUUUGAAAUCUGGCCCCCUCGGGGCCCGAGUUGUAAUUUGCAGAGGGAGCUUUUGGCGUCGGUCGUGGUCUAAGUUCCUUGGAACAGGACGUCACAGAGGGUGAGAAUCCCGUACGUGGCCGCCGGCCUUCGCCUUGUAAAGCCCCUUCGACGAGUCGAGUUGUUUGGGAAUGCAGCUCUAAAUGGGAGGUAAAUUCCUUCUAAAGCUAAAUACCCGCCAGAGACCGAUAGCGCACAAGUAGAGUGAUCGAAAGAUGAAAAGCACUUUGGAAAGAGAGUGAAAAAGCACGUGAAAUUGUUGAAAGGGAAGCGCUUGCGGCUAGACGUGCCCGCGGUUGAUCAUCCAGGCUCCGGCCUGGUGCACUCCUCCGCGGGCAGGCCAGCAUCAGUUCGGGCGGUCGGAUAAAGGCCUCUGUCACGUACCACCCCUCGGGGUGGCCUUAUAGGGGAGGCGCAACACGGCCAGCCCGGACUGAGGUUCCGCGCAUCUGCUAGGAUGCUGGCGUAAUAGCAGCAAGCGGCCCGUCUUGAAACACGGACCAAGGAGUCUAACAUCUAUGCGAGUGUUUGGGUGUCAAGCCCGAGCGCGCAAUGAAAGUGAACGGAGGUGGGAACCCUCACGGGUGCACCAUCGACCGAUCCUGAUGUCUUCGGAUGGAUUUGAGUAAGAGCAUAGCUGUUGGGACCCGAAAGAUGGUGAACUAUGCCUGAAUAGGGUGAAGCCAGAGGAAACUCUGGUGGAGGCUCGCAGCGGUUCUGACGUGCAAAUCGAUCGUCAAAUUUGGGCA
rnacentral:rRNA from 1 species